CUUUCACGGUGAGUUUCCGUUUCAUAUUCUAAUCCUUUGUCCUCUGGCAGAAUGGGGUAAAGAGAAAAGAAAUCCCUGGGAUUGGUAAGGAAAAAAGAUAUCAGAAACCAACACAAAUAAGCUAAGAGAAGGAGCAAGAACUCAAGUUUUCAAUGAAGCAGCUUUCUUAACAGCUCCAAAAGAUUUCUGCUACUGAAUUUACAGUUAAGUCUGUUCAUGGUACGAUGCAGCUGAGCUCGAUGUGGACUGUCAGAACCCCAUUAAAGGUAAAUUGUGGUGAUGUCAGCCAGGCAGCAGAAUUCAUUGUCAGUUCCUUUUGUUUAUGGCUGAACUAGACAGGAGCAUGUUCGGGGACGGAGAGUGUGAAAUGUCUUCAUCCUGUUUUUCUUUCUUUGCCACCUUAUGACUCAUGGAGAUUGUAACUGCCACUUAAAUUACCUUUGUCUUUGAUAAAACCUGAUUAAGAUCCUUCAAAUUGCAGCCUGAAGUUUUCAAGAACUAUGUAUAUUUCUUAUUUUUAUUUAUUUUCUUGAGAAACAACAUUGAAUGAGAUGUAAUGUAAAGGCUUGCUUACAUUAAGAACAAAAGAGAAAAAAGGAAAAAAGUUGAAUCCCAGAAUGUAGAAUGAAACAAGGCUUCAUGAAAAUGGCUAUACAUUUUAUUCCUAGUGUUGUACUUUGUUUGAAGAUGGAUUUCUUUGUUCAGAAAGAAUCCUAAAUUAAUUAGCUUUGAUUUCUUGACACCCUCUCAUUCCUUAAGGCCUUUUGUGCUUUGUAUUGUUUCUGCUACUCUAUUGAUUUUACUAUUAAGAAUCACUUAAUAUAACAGUUGCCCUCCUUGAGCACUUAAAACCGUCUGGCAAUUUUGUUCACUCCUUGGAACUCUCUCCUUUGAAUGUAUUAUUGUUGUGAAAGGUUGUUGUUGAAUCACGCGAAUACACCGGGAUUCUUGGCCCCCGGAGGAGAAGAAUUCAAUCCGGGGCCAGAGACGAGGCUUGAUCGCUCAGAGCUUUUGUGUAGUAAAGUUUUAUUAAAGUAUAAAGGAGAUAGAGAAAGCUUCUGACAUAGGCAUCAGAAGGGGGCAGAAAGAGUACCCGCUUGCUAGUGUUAACAAUGAAGUUAUAUACUCUCCAGUGAAUCCAAAGAAUGUCGAGGUUGUAAAGACCUCAUCAGACCUACUCCCAUAAUUUACAUUUUAAGAUAACACUGUCCUCAGGCAAGAUACAUCCUUGUAAAGACCAGGUCUACUCCCAUAAUUAACAUUUUAAGAUAACAGAAUUAGCCAGAAGGUUUAAUCCAAAGACUGUCCUUAAUCCAGAGACUGUCCUCAGGCAGGAUACAUUAUUGUUAUAUAAUCCUAAGGAAUGUGGAGAAAGAAAAAAAGUUUGUCCUUUCUUCCACCUUGAGAAUUCCAGACCCCUCUCUCCUUGGGAACCCCUAGACUUCCUAUCAACCUGCCUAGGAAAUGACUCUCUCAGUUGUAGCCACGCAUUCCGGAAAACAAACUCACUCAGAAGGGCAAUGCAGAUAGUGGAGUGCAGUUUAUUACACCGGCAGGCCCAAGGCAGAGUCUCCUUUUAGCCAAGGACCCUGACCAGUUUUUGUGAAAACCUUGUAUACCCUAAGUGCAAUAACCCGCCUCCCCAAUUCCCUGAAACUAGUCUGAACAAAGGAAAAAGAAAGAUACAAUCAAAGUUAACCCAUGAUUCAUAUGCCUUAAGCCUAGGUAGUUAACAAUGGACAAUUAUCAAUAGGCUUGUGGUCAGACCCUAAUAAGCACAAUAGAAUGUAUGAUUCUAUUAGGUUACACAGAUAAUUAGGGUAUUCUUUAAGGCAGCAGAGAGUCUAGGUACAAGCCCUGGGGCUCUUCCUUCUGGGGGCCAGGUUUUCCAGUUGGUUUGUUGUUUCCAUAGAUACUGGGUAUAUAGCUCAAAGUCCACAGUCUGGCCCAAGAUGGAGUCUUGCUUUCAAGAUAGAGCCUGUUCUGUGUGUUUCCUCCUUCAUUAUCAUGGCACAUACUUUGCACAUCUCCUUCUUGUUUGAUUUCCAUUUUUCUCCUUUAUAAGAGCUUUUCCUCUACAAAUUCAAACCAAAAACAACACAGAGCAAAGUGAAGGCAAACAACAAUAACAAAAGCACACAUCAUAAACUGAGUUAUGAUAGCAGAGCGACAGUUACACAUGAGGCUCAAACACAAUGAAUCUGCAAAGAUGUUUUGGAGGCUGGGUUAUUCGAUUAACAUUAAAGAUGCUACCCAGAUAACAUUUUAACAUAUAAAAUACUUCCACUAGUAUAAAUACAUGGCCCUGAUGUUAUUUAUUAAGUGGCCUGAAAAUUCAGACAAAUUCAUUUCCUUUCUCAUUAGUGACAUUAUCCCAUAGCAAGAGAUCUGAUAAGCUCUCAAAAUCUACAAAUAAAUUUUGAUUGUUUAUCUUCUGUUUUUCUAGAUAAUUGUUGUAAGUCAGGUCUCCAUAUCUUUCUAAUUUAAAAAUGAUUGUGAUUCCUGCUAUAAACAAAUCAGACAAUAGGACUCAACAAACAUAAGAUGCCAAUAUUGCUUUGGAAAUGGGUUAAAGUAAAAAGAGAUCUGGCCUUUGGUAAUGUAAAGUUUUGUGGAAUCCUCUCUUUUUGGAUCUGGCUUGGACUGGGCAUUUCUGGCUCCCAUGUCCUCGGGCUAUGUCAUUUGCAAUGGAUCUCUUAUCUGCUCCCAAGCAGUUUCUAUUUAUUUGUCACCUGGAUAAUCUCUCUUCACACUUUUCAAAAAAGGAAUUUUUACAUUAGCUAACAAGGGAAUCCAGACCUUUUUAUUGUAGGAUAUCCCUUUAAAAAAAGGCAAGCAGAUGGUGAGAUUUUAGCUUCUGUUGUAAAUAAUCGCUUCUAAAAUGGAAGAUAAUCAUUCUUUAUAAUAUGGCAAGGCAGAAAAGCAAGCAUUUGUUUACAUUUCAGAUAGCUUUAAAACUGUUUUAUUGGGGAUUCUUUAGGUUACAAGAAUUAACAUUAAGAAAUUAGAAAAUAGUUGUUACAGUGAAGGCAGUUUGGGGAACCAGUUGGGGUGUCAGGGAUACCAAUUGAUGAUUUUCAAUGGGCCAUUCUGCAGAGCUAUUAAGUCCAGACAUACUAAACAAAAAAGAAAACACUGCUACAAGAGUUCUCAAUUGCUAAAAUUGAAUCAUAUAUAUAUAUAUAUAUACACAUUCAAAUAUAACUUUUCAAAUUAUAGAAAGUGCCCUGAGUGAAUAGGAAAAAAGGCUUUAUUUUAGCAAGCAGCAUCAAAAUUAUGAAUAAUAGAAUUCAAGGAAUCUCACACAUAUUUAGGUUUUUAUACAUUUUAUUCCAUAAUCUGAAUCUUAUAAUGAUUAAGUGUUAAAAUAUUUUCCCUCACUUUCUCA
ensembl:lncRNA